ACGAGAGCGAAUCGUAUCGGUGGGGGCGGGACGUGUAGUUUGAUUGACAGGGUUGCGCGGCCAGUUGAGUGGUCCGGGUGGUUGUGGGCGGGGCUCGAGCCGUGUCUCGCGCUGCUCUGGCCAGCGUGCGUCACAAGAGCUGGAAGAGUCAGUGUGGUUGCGCGUGAUCGAAGGGCGAUAGGUAGUGGUGAUGGAGAUCGAGGCGCCACUGGCACAGCAGCAGAAUUGAUUAUUCGAGUACCUGCCACCUGAUGAGCACAAGAAGUGGUGACUAAAUGAUUGGUCAAAAAGCUGGUUUUAAGGAACCUGAGAAAGGACCGGUUUGAAGAGGGAACUGGAGCAAUAGCUUCCACACAGUUAAAGGGAUGUUUCCCAUUUUACACUUCCACUAGUGGGAUAAUGCACAAGAAGCCUAGGUCAAGGGCGGCAGAUGGAGAGAGUCCUUGCCAUUUGUAGGUGAUACAUUUUCAGGAAAAUCCAACAAAUUGUGAAAGAACAAAAAUUAUUUCCCAAAGGAAUGAAUUAAUUUUCAGCAUGGACUACAGUUGUUCCAGAAAGCAGCUCAUCAUCUUCAAAGGUAAUUAGGAAUUAUCAACAAAUACCACUUUGCAAGCAAUGCCCACAUUCCAUGAAUUAAUUUGAAAAUAGUAUUUCUAAAUGCUAGCUACUUUUCUGUAUUUAACAUUUUUUCAUGUAAUCACUUUGUGUUGCACUAUCAACUUUCACCUACAGAUUGGUUGCGAAGAUAUAAAGUUAUGCAGUUUAAUUACAUGGGUGACUGACCUAAGAACAGUGCUUUUUGUUUUCCGUUGGGAUUUAAUGCAGAAGCUGUGAUAUUGUGUUUCUUUAAAAUAAAUUGUUAGCUUAUACAUUUUUUAAGUAACUGUGCCAAAUAGUUACGUUAAUAUAGAAUCAUUUCAACAAUAAGAUCAUGAUACGGUGAGAGGCGAAUGCUUUUGUUCAAAGUUAAUUCUGAAAGGAAUUAAGGGUUAUGGUUAGAGGGUGAGUAAGAGGAGCUGAGGUCAUGGAAAAAUCAGCCAUGAGCUUAUUGAAUGGUGAGGGGCCAGAUGACCUCCCCUUGCUCCUCGUUCCUAUGUUUUUAUACCUGUGAGCAUGUUAUACCACUUGCCAGCUGUUCCAGAUGUCACCUUAAAUUAUAAUUGUUUCAAAAUUAUUGGUUUCUCCAAGCACUUCCAACCCUGCAUUUUUAAAGUUCAUUAAUGGGAUGUGGGUGUUCAUUCAGCUGACAUUUUAUUGCUCAUUCCUAACUUUUUGACACUGAACUAUCUUCUUGAUCCACUGCGGUCCAUGUGGUUAAGCUAUUCCCAUGGUGCUGCUAGAAUAGUGUUCCAAGAUUUACUUCUGUUGACAAAUGAAGAUGUGAUAUUUCCAUGUUGGAUGGUCUGAUUUGGAGGGUAACUAGGAGGUAGUGGUGCUUGUGCAUCUCCUACCCUAUUCUCGUAUUGAAAGCUGGUUGUGGAUUUACAAGAUGCUGUUAAAAUGGCCUGAGUGAUUUUUCUGCAGUGCAUCUUGAAACUGGGACAGUCUGCAGCCAUUGUGCACUGGUUGUGGAGUGAGUGGAUGUUUAAGGUGUCAAUCAAACUAGUUUGUCCUGGAUUAUGUCAACCCUGUUUUAUUGGAGCUGUACUCUAUUUAGGAAAUGGAGGGUUUUCCAUCACACUCCUGACUUGGGUCUUGUGGAUGGUGUAAAGGCUUUUAGGACAUGAAGUGAGUUACUUCUCACAGAAUACCCAGCCUGCUGUUGAGGGUAACAGCAUGUCUGUGGUUGGUCUACUUUAAAUUCUGGUCAGUGGCAACUUAUCAAUGCCACCUAACAUCUGAUAAUGCUAUUGAACAUCAAGGGGAAAUUGUUUAGUUGGAGAUGGUCAUCACCUGGUAAUUUUAUUAUAUAAAUGUCCUGACAAACAGUACAGUGAUAGCUUUUGGAGAGCAAGAAUAUCUUUGCUAGCUGUGAACUCCAGGCACAAGGGUGAUUUCCCCUAACCUGGCCAUUAUUAAGAAAGCUCCUUGGAGGCAAACAUGGUCAACUGUUACCUUUGUCAAGGUCAGCCAUUCUUCCUUACAUUACCUGAAAUCUGGCUUUUUGUCCAUAAACUAAGGCUGCAAUCCAGUCUAGGACCAAGCGGUUCUAGCAGAACCCAAACUGACUUUCAGAAAGCAGGUUCUUGUUAAGUGGUAUUUGAAGCACUAUCGGUGACACUUUUUUUAAAGAAUAGAUUGCUGGCACAGUGCUCAUCACAGAUGUACAGCAUGGAAACAGACCCUUUGGUCCAACUUGUCCAUGCUGACCAAAUAUCCUAAAUGAAUCUAGUCCCAUUUGUCAGCAGUUGGUCAGUUUUUCUCAACUCUUUCUACUCACAUACCCAUUUCAGAUGCCUUUCAAAUGUUGUUGUAAUUAUGCCAGCCUCCCCUACUUCUAACAGCUCAUUCCAUACAUGCAACGACCUCUGAAAAAGUGACUCAUUCUGCCUUCUUGCAAAUCAGAUGGUGUGUAACCUUGGGCAGAAUUGAGAUGCAUCCUUAUACCUCUGUGGAGUUGAGUCCUGGGUGACUUUUAAUUUGUUAUAGUUGGCCUUGUAGUUGUAUUGAGAAUGUUUCCUGAAGGACUGCUACUUCGGAGCAUACAUUUUGAGGCACUAAAACUAGAGUAUUGUCAGAGCCCAUAAUCUUUGCUGCAUCCAGAGCUUUCAGCUUUUUCUUGAUGUUAGAUGGAGUGAAUGAAUUAACUUAAAAGUUGGUGAUGGUGGGUGUUAGGUUUAUUUUUCUCAAGGUUUCGGGCACACCAACCUCUGUGAACAGUUAGUUUAUUAAAGCUCGUAUAAGUUAGGUGACCCCUUUUGACCCACCCACCCCCCCACAUUACAGGCAUGUGAGAUUGAGUCAAAUUGAGGCCCUGAACAAAGGAAACACAUCCCUUUUAUACAGGUCAGUUGGCCGCGCCUACAGAUGCUCUGGCCAUGCCCCCAAGUCACAUGCCACUCCAGUUAUCUCAGGUAGAGAGUAACAUGUGACUAUGGCAGGAUGCGAUCAUCUUCUGAGAUAAUGCUAAUGCCCUAAUUCUGGGGAAUUGUUAUGCAGACAAUUUCCUGACUCAGUGAUUCCUCAAGACCAUGCAGGUGCAACAUACCUCUGGCCAGAAAGCGUUUCUGGAUGGAAGAGAUUGAAUUAUAGUUUAACUUGACAGUAGCAGGGGAGUAAUAGCAAGUAACUGUCUAAAUGAAGUGUAAAUUAUAAUGGAUGGUCAUCCGCAUUCUUCAUAAUUGUCGUCCCUACCCAAAGACAGACAGUGCAGUUUGACCCUUUUAAUAUUAUAUUACAUGUUCAGAGAUUCCCACUGUAAUGUUAAAAGAUUAAACGGGAAUCUCAGGAGGAGGCUGAUAUAUAUAAUCAACUGAGCAACUUUGGCUGAGAAUAGAUUGGAUGAUUUGAGCAUUCUGUCACUUAUUGGGCUUGGCCAGUGUUGAAGAUGGAGAUGUGUGUGGAAUUCCCCUCCUGGCAAGAUGUUGAUCAGUGAGAAUGAGGUCAGUGAAGUUUUUCCCUUGCCACAGGCCCAGUUUGGAAGAUUAGUCUUUCUGGCUAGGGUGGUGCAAUUUAGCUACCUCCCACCCAGAGUAUGUUCUGUAACUCUUUUUUUUUUUACUUCCAAGUGGCUUGUCAACUGUGUGGGAGGAUAUGUGGUGAGCAGGAGGAAGUUUCAUUUUUCAAUGUUGACCAUGUUUUGAAUAUUGUCCAACAAGUCUGUUGAGACCUGACACCUCCAUCCUAGGGUUCUGAGAUGCAUUGAUAGUGGAUGUGCUAGUAGUGAGGUCCAAACGUCGAUACAAUCAUGAGUGGUCCCAUUGAUUUGGAAGUUGGAAGGUGUUGCUUUUUUUUUCAGAAAAGGAGGCGUUGAGCAAAACUGGAAACUACAGGCCAGUUAGCCUAACACUAAUUAUUGGGAAAAUUAUGGCAACGAUUUAAGGAAAUUUUUAUGCACUUAAAAAAAAAAACUGCAAUUAAAGUAAGUCUGUGGUUUUACUAAAAGAAAAGCCCUGUUUGACAACUUUUUGAGGAUUUACCUAAUAAAGCAGUUAACAGGAAUAAGUAGAUGUCACAUGUGUACUAAGAUUUCCAAAAAAAGUAUUUGAUAAAAUUCCACACAGGUUAAUAGGAAGGGUAAUAGCUCAUGGGUUUGAGGUAAUUUAUGAACAAUACAGUAUUGGUUGAUGGACAGAAACAGAAUGACCAUACUUCAUGCAUUUUCUAGUUGGCAGGUAGUGAAGAGUCAGUGCUGGUGUCUUGGCCAUUUACGGUCUACAUUACGCUCUCACCAAUUCAUUAAUGUCCCAGUUGGGAAGGUAAGUUGUGGGGAUGACGGAGAUAUUACAUUGUUUGGAAGUGGACAACAUGAUGGCGGAUGGAUUAUUCGCCUUGCUGAGAACAAUACAAAAGCAGAAUGUUUUAAAAAUGUGAAACUUGUGUUGAAAUUCAGAUGUGAGUAUACGUAUACAAGGUAUGGUGAAAGUUAGAAAUGCAGGUAUAGCAAACCAGUAGGAAGACAACUGCUAUAACGUCAUAGCAGGAGAGAAAUCUUGAUAGAAAUUUGUAGGGUUUUUGAGACCACAUAUGGAGUGGUAUCCACAUUUAGGGGAAAAGAAUACAUUUGCAUUAGACUCCAGUAAAGGUUGCUGGAAUGAUGAGAGUAUGUUCAUGAUUGGAAGCUUCCAGGAAUACAUGCAUAAAGUUUCUGCAUGUACUAAUCUUGGCAUAUUGAGGCUAAACGUGCUAUAAAUCUCUUGUAUUAUUGCAAGCUAUUGAAUACAAGUGAAGGUUAUUCUUGCGACAUGAGCUGUUCCAGUUCAUUGAAAGAAACAUACAGAUCUUAUGUGGUGUAGGGAAAUCAGUGGAGAUAAUGGUGUUUGCUUUGCUUGCUUUCAGGUGAGUUUAAUUAUUAGCCAAACUCUUAAAUUGAUAACCUAAUACUUGCACUUGUUUUGGGCUUUGCUCUCCUGGCCUUUUUCACAAUGAAGCUGUUAGUUGUUUUUUGCAAGCAAUUUUUUUUAAAAAUUAGGAUUAGAAAUGUGGUUAGUUUAAUGUAUGAUGGAGAACUCCAGAUGGCAGGUUGCAAACAGCUGUUUGUAUUGACUUGUCUCAUCCCAUCCCUUAAGCAGAUGCUUACUCUAUCCUCCAUGUUUAGAGCGCAUUCUCAAAGCUUGUUUGAUUCGAGGCAUUUGUUUGAUUGUGCAGGUGGUUAUGUUCAAUUCCAGUGACUGUGUGGAAUAGAUGGCAGCAGCUACAUGUCCCACCUGAUCUAUUCCUUUCCAACAGGAAGGGCAUUUAGGGGUAUUCAGCAGUUGGCUAAUCUGGUGUCGCCUGCUUCAUGCUCCAUCUGAAAUUGCAUGAUGCCUGCUCAAAAUGUUUUACUGUCUGGUUUGUUUUACUCGUGUAUAUAACUCCACUUCUAAAUGCCAACUGAUGUUUUAACUUAAAUAGAUACAGAAAAUAUUAGACCAGUUAACUGUUUGGCAAAGAAAUGCUAGGAUGGUUCUUAUCUGUGCUUUACCAUGUAUCUAAUCUCAGCAAAUAGAGCAGAACGCAUUGUACCGGAAAGGAACGUUUUUUUAAUUCAGUGAUUUUGUGUACACAAAACCUGACUGGGUUUGUUUGUAGGUUGCCUUAGAGAUGCAUCUAAGCAGACAAGGAUUGCAGUUAUACAAGCUUAAACCUAUAGUUGAACCUGAAUCUAUUUGAUUUUAGUGAAAUGGGGAGCUGUCGCUGUGUAAUGUAAACCAACAACUUUAAAUUAGACAAAAGUUCUGAACUUCACAAGGACAGUUAGUCAUAAACAGAGACGCAUGAAAUAUUGGUCAUAGGCUUUAACAACAUUUCAAGAGGAAAGGAAAAUGGGGUUUGGGAGAUUAGACUGCUGAACACGGCCACUAAUGGUGGACAGAGGAGAAUGAAGGGUGUGGAAGAAGGGAGAAGUGUAUACGAGUGUUGCUGUAGCAUUGAAGGAGGUCACAAAAGUAGGGAGAGAAUGAGGACCUAGUAGUAUUUGAAAGCUUAAUAGCAUAGCCAGAGCAGGAGCUAUUGUAAGUCAGUAUAGGGGUGAUUGAUAAACAGGACUUGGUGAUUAGGAAAUUGGCAGCAGAAUUUUGGAUACCCAAAUGUUUAUUGUGCAGGUCUAGCCAGGAGAGUGUUAGGGAGUUGAAUCCGUGUACAACAAGUUCCCAUGAAGGUUUCAAUAGCAGCUCAGUUGAGGCCAGGAUUAAAUGCCGGUAAUGUUUCAUAAGUGGAAGUAGCCUAUUGUGGUAUAAACCAUCUGAGGUUGGAAGCUUCACUCAGCAUGUAGUAAAAUGUUACAGUCUUAAAACAGUAGCCAGGGAGAGGGAUGGAGUCAUUGGUAGCUAGUGAAUAGAGCAGAGGCUGAAAGUAAUGAUUCCUAAUCUCUUAAUAUUUAAUCAGAAGAAAUUUUGCCUCAUAGGAUUGGAUGUCAGAAAUAUGACAAAUCAGACAAUGGUAUGUUUGAGAGAGAUUAUGCUAAUAUAGAAGGCCAGAUAUCGUCAUACACAUGAACCCAUUAGGUAUGAAAUUCAAGGUGACCAAAAGCAACAUUUGUGCCUCCUACAAUAUAUGGAUGUUAAUGGCAGUACUUUUGACUGUAUUAGGUAAAUGUUUUGUUUUUAAUAAAGUUUAAAAACUUGCUAAUUUCUGUUGUUAUGCUCACUAUUCUCAGUGCUUCUGUGCACCUAUAAACAAAUCUGUUUUUUUAGCUUUAGUCUGUACAUUGAUAGCAACGUAUUUUUCAUAAUCAGAGCCAUGGGCAUUGAUGUAACUAUUGGAGCUCACCUGCAAUCAGCAAGAUGUCACUGUUUUUCAGGA